rnacentral:lncRNA from 1 species
AGAGACGAAAUUGGCAACAAAAUUUCAAAAUGAAAUUUAAUGCAUAAAUAAUGGCAUUAUUUAAAUAAACAUUUUAAUUAAAAAUAUAGAAGUCGUCAAUCAAUUAUUUAUUUAUUUAUUUAUUUGAUAUAAUUUUAAACAGGUCAAAAUUAAAAUUUUAAUUGAGUCAAAAUUGAAAUUUUGUGGACAACUUUUAAAUCCAAUUUCAAAAUUCAAAUUUAAUCCCUUUUCGAAAAUUGCACCUUGAUCUUAGUUAAAAUUAAAACCGGGUCCUCCAGUUUCUCAAAUUACAAAUAGGCCCUUUUUAAAUAAUCACAAUUUGACCCCAAUUGUUAAUUGCAGACUGGGGCCUUUUAACUUCUCAAAUUACAACAUGACCCCUAUCUUCCUUAUUCAGCUCGUUUCAUAAACAACAAUCACAAUUAACAACCAAGCAUUUAGGGCAAAUCCAACACAAAAUCAAUUAUAAAUCCAACAAUCCCCAACUCUCACUUCAAUCAGUUUGUAAAAACGUAGUUUACUAGAAGUUGGAACUCUAUUGAGGCAAAAUCCAACUGCUUGCAACAAAUCGGGAGAUCGAUUAUCAUUGCUGCAAGAUCCGAAUUAAUUGCAACAGCCCGGAGGAUCGACGGCGGUCAUCCAACAUGCGAUUGGGACAAGGUGAGUGAGUGGGAUUUUAUUUUAUUAUUUAUUAUUAUUAUUUAUUUAUUUAUUUAUUUCUGUAUUGGUAUAGAAUGGAAGGGAAAUUUGGAUUAGUGUUUCAAGCCACCACCAUUAACGGCCCAGAAAAAGAAUAUGUUAAUCCCAAGAACCUUCAGGGGUGAGGCAGUGGGAAUAUGGUGGUUUGAUAGCUUCCGCAAGGUUUGGUUUCAUUACAUAUGUUUUUAUAAUUAUACAUAUAUGCAUACAUGAAUUUAUACGCACAGAAAACUUUUAAUGCAAGUUUUGUGUUCAAGUUAUGUAUAUAAUUAUGGUGUUUCUGGGAAUUGAUUCUCUGUAAAUUUGAGUUCAAGUUAUACAUACAAUUAUAUACACAUACACGACUGCACUGCACAGAAACCUC